AUCCAGCGGGAGCGCGCACUCCUCAACAUUGCGCGGCACCGACAGCAGCCCCGAGCUCCGCCCCGUAGAGGGGAAGGAGAGGGCGUGCCAUGCCAGAGCACAGAGAAACAACUAAGGGAGGGGCGGGGCAGGGCGAGUAAACAUAAAGAAACGGGGCGUGCUGAGAUGGAGAGAGGCGGGGCGAGGCGUGACGGAGCGUCACACAGAGGGGACUGGGAGCUCUGGCUGUGGUUCCAGAUUCUCCAGGAGAAGCAGUGACCGCCUGUUCUUGUCACCAACCCCGAAGAGAACACACAGAUCAUUGUCUAAUGUCCCUGCCUGGUGUAGAUUUUGACAUCAGUACGAGAAUGGCAGAGCAUACAACAGAGUGCAGAGCUGUGUGAU